CCUGUUGAUUUAAGCAGAGUCUCGUGCCCAGCGGAAGGAUGAGGAAAAUGUGCUGCAUACUCUAUAUUGCUUUUAUUUACAGUUCAAAGCUGGUAUAUUACAGAAAGACAUCUUGCCUCUGCCGGAGCAGAAAAUGCAUCCUCUCUCCUCGACAGCUCGGAGAGAAUCACACAGUGAAAAACAGGAAACCAGUGUACGUCACAUCCAGUCUCCCUUUCCCGUGAGAAACUCCAACAGUACAGACUGUGGAAUGUAAACACCUGUCUCGUGACAAGCAGAGCUGCACAGUGAAGGAAAGCAGAAACCAACAUCCUCCCCUUUCUGUGAACAUCACUGGGCAGCGUGUUUGCACAAUAUCAGUACAAACCCAACUUCUGCACAUAGGUACAGUGUUGAUCCCUUGAUACAAUCUUGGACAAUACAUCAGCAGGAAUUUCAUUACCUGGCAUAUAGGACACCGUUACGAGUCCCUUCUGAAUACAUUCCCUAGCAUGCUGCAACUUUAAUUGUAAGUGCUUUGUGCUUUGCUUACAACCUUCAGACUUCAGCAAAGCCAAACAUGCUUUGUUGUCCUGGUAAACCUGGAUUGGACAUUUGACAGGAAUUUUCAUAUCUUUGCACAAUUGUACUAACCAUUCACAAUCCUUAAGUGAAUAAGACAGUGCAUUCAGUUCGGCUUCACAAGUACUUAAGCUAACUGUUGUUUGCUUCUUGCAUGACCAAUCAAACAGACUCUGAUUGUACAUGUAGCAAACUCCAGACGUACUUUUCCUGUCUGUAGCGUCACUUCCAAAACUUGCAUCUGCAAAUAUCUCAAGACCACCAGACUUCUGAUUGUUAAAUCUCAGUCUGUAAUGCAUAGUGCCUUUCAAAUACCGCGCUAUGCGUUUCAGAGCUUUCCAAUCCUUGACACUAGGAUUGUUGACUUGUCUGCUUAGCAAAUUACAGCUAACAGCAAUGUCUGGUCUUGAACAUCUGGCAAUGAAGUUUAGCUUGCCUAGCACACUCCUGUACAGUGUAGUGUCAGAAAAUGCUUCUUCAGUGUCAUCUACCUGAUAACCUGUUGUCAUCGGUGUGUCUACAGGGUUAGCAUCUAUCAGAUUUAGUUUGCUUAACACAUCAGCAAUUUUCCGUGACUGGUGUACUAGAAUGUUACCAUCUUGAUCUCUCUCUAUUUCCAGAGAUAGGUAGUUGUUUACCUCACCAAGAUCUUUCAUGUCAAAGUGCUCUUUCAGUUGAGCUAGGGCGCUAUUGUACAUUGCAACAUCUUUCCAAAAGAAUAAUAAAUCAUCAACAUAAAACAAACAGUACAGUUUCUUUUGCCCCUCCUCUUUGACAAAUACACAUGGAUCAGCUUUCCCUUGCUGAAAACCUAGAGAAAACAAUACUUCAGUGAGUUUUGUGUGCCAACACCGUGCACUUUGUUUGAGACCAUAAAGGGAUUUCUUCAGAGCACAAACAAAUCCCUGUUUUACCUGUACGCCAUCAGGUGGAAGCAUAUAAAGUGAUUCAUCUAGAGAUCCGUACAGAAAAGCUGUAUUAAUAUCAUGGUGACUAAUGUGUAGAUUUUCCUCUGCAGCUAGCUUAAGCAUAAGCCUAAUGCUUUCAUAUCUCACUGUGGGUGAAUAGGUCUCGUGAUAGUCUUCACCUGGUACCUGUGCAAAACCUCUGGCUACCAAUCUGGCUUUGUGUCUGACUAUCUUGCCAUUUUGACCUGUCUUCGCUUUGAAGACCCAUUUGCUUCCAAGCAGUUUCAUUCCUGGAACUACUGGAACUAGCUCCCAUGUUUUGUUCCUUUCUAAGGAAUCAAGCUCAGCCUUCAUGGCAUUUAACCAUGGCUCAGCUUCCUUUGAAUCCAAACCCUGGAUUUCUUGGAAAUUUGAAGGUUCAAAUACCUUCUUGGAGCUUUUAACAGCUGUUACUGCUAUCUUAGCAAACUCAUCAGCAAAUCUCUUUGGAGGUUUGCCUUUUGUGGCUCUCUGUGACCUACGAAUUAGCCUUAAGUCUUCAACACUCUCCUCUUCCUUCUUAGGAGAAAAACGACCUAUUGUGAACAAUGGUUCCUCCAAUUCUUGAUCAGAGCUUUCAGAGGGUCGCAUAGAGGCUUUCGCACUCUUGAAAUCCUCUGAAUCACCCGAUUCAGUUUCAGAUUCAGACUCAGAACCUUCAUCAGUGGGUGUGGGCUGUUGUGGUUGCUUUUGACUAUCCUCAGUCUCAUCACCGUCAUCAGGAUAACAUUGGAAAAUUCCCACAUUCUCCCCCACUUUGCAUUGUACUCGACACUUCUCGUGAGCUUAAUUGUCUUAGAGUCAGUCAUCAUUAUUCUGUAAGACCCUUUCUGAUAACCUAGAAAGAUACCAUGCAAUCCACGCUUGUCUAACUUGGAGUUUUGUGGUGAGCGAACCCACAUGUCAGAACCAAAAAUCUUCAUGUGUUUGAUGUAUGGCUUCUUGCCAAACAUCUUCUCAUAGGGGGUACUACCAAUCGCUGAAGAUAACCUGCGAUUGUAACUGUAAACAAAACACGAGAGAGAUUCGGCCCAAUAACUCUCUGGAAGAUUGGCAUCAUGCAGCAAGGUUUUUAACCCUUGAAGCAAUGUCUGAUUUGCCCGUUCCGCAAGUCCAUUCUGCCAUGGCGAGCGAGGACUAGACAAAUCGUGUUGAAUUCCUUUCUCAGUCAGAAAAGCUUCAAACUGCUGAGAAGUGAAUUCCCCCGCGAUCACUGAAAAGAGUCUUUAUCUUCUUACCAUGCACAUUUUCCAACCAAGCACAGAAUUCCUUGAACCUAGGAAAAGCCUCCGAUUUCUGCUUGAGAUUGUACACAAAAAUAUAUCUAGAAAAUGCAUCAAUGAGAACCAUGAAGUAUCUAUUUCCACCCAAAGAGGGCGCUAGUGGUCCAACCAAAUCAGCAUGAACAACCUGGUAUGGUUCUGUAGCUUUCCUACUAGACACCUUACCUUUCGCAGCCAUUUUCACCUUGUUUGCUGCGCAUGCUUUGCACUUCAUGUGGUACCUGCAGGGUUUAAUAGUCAUACCUUCAACCAAGGCAGGCAUUUUAGAUACUGCCUCAAAAUGCAAAUGACCAAAUUUUCGAUGAAAAUCGUGAAUACAUUCUGCAUGCAAACUUUUGUUAGAACCUGCAAUGCAACAAGUGUCAUCCUGCACCACAUCAUCAUAAUACAAAACAAACAAAUGAUCAACAUAUUCUGCAUGCAAUACAUAAUCAUUUUUCUUUGUGAUGAUGCACUUCUUGUUCUUGAAGGAAACGUCAAUGUUCCGCUCAUUCAGCUGUCCAACGCUGAGCAGAUUAUGUUUGGCGUCUGGCACGUAAAGCACAUUCUGUAUCGAUAAGUCCAAACUGUGAAGAACAACAGUUCCGUAGCCUUUACUGGGAAUAGUGUGGUCAUCCGCCUGGUGAAUCGCACCUUCCUGCGGUGUAAAAGACUCAAACAGUUUCUUAUCGUUGCACAUGUGGUGGGUCGCCGCUGAAUCAACUACGAAGAAAGAUCUAGACGUCUUCUGGACCUCUGCAACCUUUGGAGUGAAGCGUGAAACCAUAGCCUUGUGCUGCGUUGUCCUAGACACCGGACCUUUGCCUUUGCCUCGGCCUGUUCCGCGCGAUGAGCUUUCGCUGCGCUGCUCUGUCUUGGCCCUGGGAUGUCUGCAUUCCCUCUUCAUAUGGCCUAGACGUCCACACGAGUAGCAUUUCACUGCCUUCAAAGCUUUGGCGCCAUCUGGUGGUUCCACUGCACUAUGGGAUGACGUCUGUGAAGACUCCCCCUUGCCCAUGCAGCUAGCACCCCGGCGAUCUGCUUCAUUUAAAAUCACGGCAGUAACAAAGUCCACUGUCAGCUGAGCAGUUGGUUGCACAGCAAUCUGGGUUGCAACAGACUCCCAACCUGAACCCAAAGAUUGUAGUAUCAUGAAAGAAUACACAGCCUCUGGAAAGUUGAGUCCUCUCUGUUGCAGCUCAUGUCUCAGAUUUUGCAUCUCCAUCAGAUGUAAACGCACAUCUCCACCUUCAGCAAGAGCCAUAUUAUGCAGCUUGUUAAAGUAAAACAUAGUGGAUCCAGCUUCUGUCCUUAAGUGAGCCUCUUUCAGAGCGUCCCAAAUUUCUCUGGCUGAGGUCUUAUCACGCAAUAGACAGAGCUCUUCUGGGGAUACUAUCAAUGUAAGAGUUCCCCUUGCUUUGGAAUCCUUAGCUUCCCAUGCAUCUGUAACUGGAACUGGGGGUUCCUGUAAUCACCUCAAACAAACCCUCUUUCCGCAGAAUUGCCUCUGCAUACAGAACCCAGUCGCUGUAAUUUUUCUUGUUGAGCUUAGGAAUCCCACAAGCAUCCUGAAGGGCCAUCAUGACUCUGGCAUUAGCCUUCAGCGUCAUAUGCUGCUUUAAAUCUUGCUGCGUCACUGCUGCAGCUGCUUUAUUACAAAGGCACACUUAAAAGUUACUUUCGAUUUCCCCAGCAUAGUGACUUGUGCCUGGGAGCCUUUGCCUAUUCCCGGCAAAACCGGCUUUAAAAGUUCAAAGUCCAGCCAUAAAGCCAUUAACUUGAAGCUGGCAGGCUGCCCGGAGCAGUAGCACAUACCUCAUCAAUCACCUCUACGCGCAGAGCAGAUUCCGUUCCGAUCUGUCCCUCUGCAUUCCGAUCCUUUGCCGGCACUCCGAUUCGACCUCUGGAGCCCAUAACCACGUGUUGAUUUAAGCAGAGUCUCGUGCCCAGCGGAAGGAUGAGGAAAAUGUGCUGCAUACUCUAUAUUGCUUUUAUUUACAGUUCAAAGCUGGUAUAUUACAGAAAGACAUCUUGCCUCUGCCGGAGCAGAAAAUGCAUCCUCUCUCCUCGACAGCUCGGAGAGAAUCACACAGUGAAAAACAGGAAACCAGUGUACGUCACAUCCAGUCUCCCUUUCCCGUGAGAAACUCCAACAGUACAGACUGUGGAAUGUAAACACCUGUCUCGUGACAAGCAGAGCUGCACAGUGAAGGAAAGCAGAAACCAACA